UUAUAUCCAGCUGUACUUCAAAAUGUAUAUGCUAUCUUAUUAAAAUGUAUGCAGUACAAGAAAAGUUAAAAGCAAGCAUGUCAUAAUUUGGGACAAGAGGAUUAAGUAUAGGAAAAAUAAGAUCAAUGCAUUAGUAAGACUGGUUUACAAUCAAUAGUUGAUGGAACAGCACAUGUAAAUAUGUGUUGAAACCACUUCAGAAUGGGCCAUAAGUUUGAUUCCAAACUUCUCCCAUCUCUGUCCAGGUUGUUAGUUACAUAAAUAUCUAACCUGGUAUGGUCUAGUGCAUUGACUCUCCUUGGGUACUGUGACCAAGAAGAACUAUUUUCCCUUCAAAAAGUAACAUGAACUAACACAGUGUUAAGUACCCUGAGAGCAUUUUCAAAGUAAAAAGAGCAUUUUGUCGAGCAAUUCCUCAAUGCCAGUGCUCAAAGGAGGCUGAAGUAAAAACAAAUAUGGUAUGGAUGUAUAGCACCCUGGGGAUCUUUCUCAGAUCAAUAGUCCUCAAAUUUUUAGAAUUGUGAGCUACUUUGGAAAACUUUCCAAUCAAUCAUUUAAAAUAAAUAUUUGUGGGCUAGAUAGAGAAAAGGCUCAGCAGUUGGGAGCACUGGCUGCCCUUCUCUUGGACCCAGAUUUGAUUCACAGCACCAAGUGGUGGCUUAUGGGCAUCUGUAACCCAGUCACAGUUCCAAAGGGAUCUGACAUCUUCUCCUGGCCUUCUCAAGAACCAAUGCACAGAUAUACAUGUGACCAAAUGCCCAUGCACAUAAAAUAAGUGUGUGUGUGUGUGAUUAUGUGUGUGUGCUUAUGUGUGUAUUUGAAAUCAUUCAAUCACAGCUAUGGUGGACUGGAAAUCAGCCACUUCAGGAUCCACAGCCCACGUUUGCACUAAGGUUUGGACUCCAGAGCUACCGAGAGCCUGACAGAGGACUGAACACAGCAGAGGGGAGGGUGCUGAGCUGCUCCUGUAGUGGGGAAACCGCAAAGCUGGCUUUGCAUGAGGACCUCCCUAGGCCUGUCCUGCAAUCUGCUCUUCCAUGGUCCUGUCCACGUGGUCCCUUCCUCUUGCCCUCCCUCUGGGUUCAGACUUGCAUUUUGUCUGUGUAUUUUCCUUGCCUCUUUCUGCUCCCACCUUUGUUCUUCACAGGUUUUCCUCCCAGGACACCUCUUUCACAUUCAAUUCCUUUUAGCACUUGCUUUUCCAAGGAGGAAAACUAACUUAUGCACACCGACAGUGGUUACCAUGACAGCCAAGAAUCCUGCUAACACAGAGAAAUGGACCACAAAGGAGGCACACAUGCUUAACCGAGAAUUCCACACUCUUGCCAUUGGGGAUGAAGUGUAGGCAGGCAGUGCCCACUGUGGGCACAUUCACACAAGCAUCAACACAGACAGAGGGGUGUUAAUGGCCCAGGAAAACCUAUUAGCAAGAGCCACUGAGGAAGUACAAAUCAAAAUGACAUCUCACCUCAGUCAGAAGAAAGCAAAGAACAGAUGUUGGUGAGGGGAAGAGGACAGCAGGGAUCCUUAAACACCGUUAGUGGGAGUGGAAGCUACUGUCGCCUCUGUGGAUGGUCUUCAGAAAAUUAAAACAGGAACUACCACACCAUCCCAAUAUGCUUCUCAUGGAUGUAUACCUGAAGAAAAUGAAGUCAGUGUUCAGUACCUGCAUUGCCAUAGUUAUUGUAAUGGGGACACUGUUGGCCACAGCCCAGCUAUGAUCAGCCCAGGUGUCUAUCAGUCGAGGAAUGGAUCAAGAAAAUGGGGUGCACGUCCACAAUGGACUGUUGUUCAGCCAUUAAGAAAAAACGAACAAACAAAUGUCCACAUCAGUUUUUGGAAAGUGAAUGGAACUGGAGGUCAUCAUGUUAAGCAAAACAUGCCAAAUUGACAAGUAUCACAUGCUUCCUCACAUGAAAACUCUAAGUGGGGAAAGGACAUCAAAGUGAAUGGUGGAACCAGUGGGGAAUAAGAAUAAAUGAAAAAGAAGGGAAAGUAGGAUAGAAGAGGAAACAGAAUAACUAUGAUCGAGCUGUGUUAUAUAUGAGCACAGCACACACAAUGAAAGCCAUUACUCUGUAUGACUGGAAUCUACCAAUAAACAUAACCAUGUUGAAUGUCUCCUGAUUGCUGUGUGUUCAGAAGAGUUGAACUCCAAAAGUGAAGACCUCUCAGAAACGUACUUCAUUAUGCUGACAUUUUUCUUUCAUGUAUGCAAAAGAAUGGUGUGCAACUUAAAUAUGCCAAAUAAAAGAAAUGUGUAUAGCA